rnacentral:lncRNA from 1 species
AGCCCAGCUACAGGGAACCUGGGCUCUAUUGAGCUGCAGGGGAGCUAUUCGGAUUGAAUCACCCUCCAGGCUAAAAGAUGCUCUAAUGGAAGUGAUGGGGUCCGUCUCCAAUUUGGAGACCGCGCAGGCCUAUCCUUCAAAAAAUGGGCCCUGGAAGGGGGAAAGACAGAUCUCCUGUAGUAAAAAGGAGGACAUGACUGUCGUCAUCCUGAACACUUGUCCACGUGCAUGACGACAUCCC